rnacentral:rRNA from 1 species
CAGUAGCCACGGUAAUACGUAGGUCCCGAGCGUUGUCCGGAUUUAUUGGGCGUAAAGCGAGCGCAGGCGGUUAGAUAAGUCUGAAGUUAAAGGCUGUGGCUUAACCAUAGUACGCUUUGGAAACUGUUUAACCUGAGUGCAAGAGGGGAGAGUGGAAUUCCAUGUGUAGCGGUGAAAUGCGUAGAUAUAUGGAGGAACAUCGGUGGCGAAAGCGGCUCUCUGGCUUGUAACUGACGCUGAGCCUCGAAAGCGUGGGGAGCGAACAGGAUUAGAUACCCCCGUAGUCCCUGUCUCUUAUACC